rnacentral:lncRNA from 1 species
CCAACAUCCCACUGCUGCCCCGCAGUGCAAGCUGGAGCAGCAGGCGUGCCUGGCCAGCAAGCAGCUGACGGUGCGGUGCGAGGGGCAGUGCCCCUGCCCGACCCCACACAGCCCCACCAGCGAUGCCAAGCAAGGUGAGCAGGAUGGGGGGCAACCUGGGGGGCGUCCCCGAGCCCUGCUUGGCUUGAUGGUCCCCCUCUCCACCCCCCAGAGCUGUGCACGGGGCAGGACCUGGCUGAUCUGGGUGACCGCCUGCGCGACUGGUUCCAGCUCCUGAGGGAGAACGCCAAGCAGAAUGGCUCUGGGGGUCUCCCCGCCAGCCCCACCACUGCGCUGGAGAGGAGCGUGGCAGCCAGCUGCAAGGAGGCGGUGGGGUGGAUGUUUGCCCGGUUGGACACCAGCAGGGACCUCUUCCUGGAGGCGGCCGAGCUGGCCGCCAUCAACCUGGACAAGUACGAGGUGUGCAUCCGAGCCUUCUUCAACUCCUGUGACACCUCCAAGGACGGACGCGUCUCCGCUCCCGAGUGGUGCUUCUGCUUCUGGAGGGAAAGUGCGUGGCGUGACGUGGUGUGACGUGGUGGCUGGGGUGGGGUGGGGGGGAAGGCUGCUGUGGGGAUGGGGGUUGUACCCCAUG